AGCCAGGCCCUGCGCUAAGGACGAGAGCCCAACCCCGUCAGGACCGGAAGGUAGCAGCGGUAAGCCCUUUGUUUUUGAGCCGCAGUCGGCUUGGUUGGC
rnacentral:SRP_RNA from 1 species